GAUGAAGAACGUAGCGAAAUGCGAUACGUAAUGUGAAUUGCAGAAUUCAGUGAAUCAUCGAAUCUUUGAACGCAUAUUGCGCUCUUUGGUAUUCCGAAGAGCAUGCUUGUUUGAGUAUCAGUAAACACCUCAACCUCUUCUUGAUUUUUCAAAAGGAGGGUGGACUUGAGCUAUCCCAACAACCUUUACCGGUCGGCGGGCGGCUUGAAAUGCAGGUGCAGCUGGACUUUUAUCUGAGCUAAAAGCAUAUCUAUUUAGUCCUCGUCAAACAGGAUUAUUACUUGUGCUGCAGCUAACAUAAAGGAUAAUUGUCCUCUUUGCUGACUGAUGCAGGAUUUUACGACACUUUAUGUGUUGUUCAACUCGAUCUCAAAUCAAGUAAGACUACCCGCUGAACUUAAGCAUAUCAAUAAGCGGAGGA
rnacentral:misc_RNA from 1 species